UUAUGUUUACUCUGCUGAUAUUGUAAUUCUUGAAACAACAUUGUUCCUGCAACGUUACUUUGCUCAACAAAAUUACUCAACUCCAAACACAAUUCAAAAACCUAAAAAUCAAUUGGUCUUCGCCGCAACCUCGCCAUAGCCGUAGCCCGUUCCUCGGAGUCCCAUCAUCGCAUCUUCGCCGGUGUUCUGUUGCCGCAACCUCGCCGGAGCCUAGCGUUGUCGUCUUCUUCAUCUUCACACUUCUACUCAGUUAAUUCAUCUCUGGUUGGAACUAAUCUUGUUGUUCAAAGGAUCCUCACUUCACCACUUCGUACAAAAAAUCGGUAUGAUAGAAGGCGAGCUCAUGCUCAGACAGCCGGAAUUGAAUGUAUAAAAGUUACAAGGUAAGCUCCUGCAUGACAGUAUGGUUAAUUGGAACAAUUUAUACAACAAAUAUGUCUUAGCCUUGCCAUGAGGUUCCAGCUGCGCGAUAAGUAAUUCAGUUACUACAAAAAUGGAAGAAAUUGAAGGAAGCUCUCAGACAGUUAUUUACCCUUACUUGGCAAAAGUGAUUGGAAGAUGAAAGCAACCAAUAGUAGUCAUGACACCUAAUGAUGCUAGGCCACGAAGGGUUCAUUCCCAUUGUUCCGCAAAGUGGAGAUCAAACAUACCUCCAUUUGUGUUAUGGACGAAGUCAACUCUGAGGAGGUUUCCUCCUAAUGGAAAAGCGGGAAAGUAAAGAAACAAACAAUAUAGUUGGUGGCAGACUGUCCGUGGCCCAAAGACACCAUUGCUUCUAAUAAAUUUAAAUUCUCAAAUAACAACCCAGUUUUUAGAAUACCUUGGUCUUUGAAUUACUGUAAAAAAAUCGGAACCUUUCUUCCAAGAAAUGGAUCCAAAUCUGCAACGGGAAUGGUCCUUCAACGACUUUGAGAUCGGAAAGCCACUCGGAAAAGGGAAGUUCGGCUGAGUCUACGUCACCAGAGAAAUUAAGAUGAAAACAACUGCCAUUUGGGUGGAUCUAAUAUGCUAGUGUAGGCUUCUCCAAGCAGCUAUAAGCAACUUUUCAUUAUUAGUAUUAAAAGGUUUUGCAUUCCCUUGAAUUCUUUCAAACUAUGCCUCCAAAAAAGUCCAAGAAGAAGAAUAUAUCUUCUCAACAUGAAGUCACUCAACCUUUGACCGAUAUCUUCCUACUCGAACAAGAAGUCCUAUAGUUUACAACUCUUCUUUAUAUAGUAAUUCGACAAUUUUGAUUUGUACUUUUUUUCUUCUUUUUGACUUGGUUGUAAUUUGGAUUGUUUUUUCUUUUUAACUUGAUUGACAAAUGAUUAGUAAUAGGUUGGUUUUUUUAGCCAUUUUUAAAAAUGUGACUGUGUAAGUACUUGUUACUAACUUUGAAAUCUAUUUUAUAGUAACUUAUUGUUCUAUAAAUUUGAAUUUCAUUUUAAAUUAUAAUUUUAUUUUUAUAUUAUGGUUAUUUUAAUAUGUAAUUUAUAAUGUUUUAAAAAUUUAAUAAAAUAAAAAUAAUUUAAUUUGAGAUAGAAAGUACCUGCGGAUUUACCUGCGGAACUUCCUGCCGAAUGUAUUACCACGAAGGUUUUAGCUGGGGACAAAUAACCGCAGGAAAAUCCGCAGGUAACGUGUUUCCUGCGGAAAUUUAGCUAAAAUCCGCAGAAAAUUCGAGUAUUUCUAGUAGUGAAUACAUGAUGGUUUGAACAAGAUUUGAUGACAAAAUAAAACAAUACAAAAAUUUCAAAUUUGAGAAAAGAAAA